rnacentral:rRNA from 1 species
AAUAGAUACCCUGGUAGUCCACGCCGUAAACGAUGAGUGCUAAGUGUUAGAGGGUUUCCGCCCUUUAGUGCUGCAGCUAACGCAUUAAGCACUCCGCCUGGGGAGUACGGCCGCAAGGCUGAAACUCAAAGGAAUUGACGGGGGCCCGCACAAGCGGUGGAGCAUGUGGUUUAAUUCGAAGCAACGCGAAGAACCUUACCAGGUCUUGACAUCCUCUGCCAACCCUAGAGAUAGGGCGUUCCCCUUCGGGGGACAGAGUGACAGGUGGUGCAUGGUUGUCGUCAGCUCGUGUCGUGAGAUGUUGGGUUAAGUCCCGCAACGAGCGCAACCCUUGAUCUUAGUUGCCAGCAUUCAGUUGGGCACUCUAAGGUGACUGCCGGUGACAAACCGGAGGAAGGUGGGGAUGACGUCAAAUCAUCAUGCCCCUUAUGACCUGGGCUACACACGUGCUACAAUGGAUGGUACAAAGAGCUGCGAACCCGCGAGGGUAAGCGAAUCUCAUAAAGCCAUUCUCAGUUCGGAUUGUAGGU